GUAGGUGAACCUGCGGAAGGAUCAUUAGAGACGGGCCCGCGGCACCGGCGACACUCGUCGGUCUCGCGCGCGCCUCAUCCGACCGAGCGUCGACCGAAAGAUGGUUACACCAUCGAAAGACCGUCCGCGGCCCCCGGGCCGUGGAAAAAUUUCGACAAAAACAAAAACACCCGACCCCGAACGGCGGAUCACUUGGCUCGU
rnacentral:misc_RNA from 1 species